UUUCCUACGGGGCGCAGCAGUGAGGAAUAUUGGUCAAUGGGCUUACGCCUGAACCAGCCAAGUCGCGUGAGGGAAGACUGCCCUAUGGGUUGUAAACCUCUUUUGUCAGGGAGCAACGCCGGCUACGUGUAGCCGGACUGAGAGUACCUGAAGAAAAAGCAUCGGCUAACUCCGUGCCAGCAGCCGCGGUAAUACGGAGGAUGCGAGCGUUAUCCGGAUUUAUUGGGCGUAAAGCGAGUGCAGGCGGUUCAAUAAGUCUUAUGUGAAA
rnacentral:rRNA from 1 species